UCUAUUCUGCCAAAAAAUUACUAAUUAUAAUGGUACAUUCGUACAUGUGUACAUGCAAAGAUUAAAAUAGUAUCCCAACUAAAAGAAACACUAACAUAGAAAUUAGUAAGUUUGGCCAUUAGUUAGUAAUUGUUUUCAUGCUUCAUUCUUGCACGUAGCAUAGAAAAAAAAAAGAAAUGGUACACUAACAUGCUUUUUUGGAACAGAACCCCCUAUAACACCACUUUCUAUUUCAUAUGCGCGACCAGACCACGAAGAUGCACGAAAUACAGUAACAAGGGAUCAUUUCUGCCCAAUUGCGUCACUACAUAUUGCUGCACAGAAUCGAAGAAAGAGAAAACAUUUAAACCAUUUCAAAGCUCUAACACAACAAGCUUCAUCAGCUGGUAUAUCACUUUAUUCAUUACAAGAUACAUUUGGAUCAUCAAAAGAGUACACAAAUUUCCUCAAAGGUAUGUAAUCCUAUACCUAUACAUUGAAUGAAUAUAACCACAACAUCUAAUCUUUAACACACGAUAUUAUACUAGAUUUAAUCUAAAAUAACUUCCUUAUGGUUUUUAUUUCAAAUAUUUAGAGACAUAUAAAGAUCAAUCUUAUUAUGGGGGCCCAGAUUAUGUCUGUGAUAAAUGUGGUGCUAUCUUUUGGUAUCAAGAACGUAUAGAAAAAAAACAGUUCAUAUGCCCAGAAAAGAAUUGUAUAUAAUUUGUGUUGUCAUGGUGGGAAAGUCUCAUUACCAAGCUUCAGAUCUAGACCAGAACCACUUAAUGACCUUAUUCGGUUUGACGGAGGCCCAAGAAGCAAUAAGUUCAUGUGCCAUAUAAGGCAAUACAACUCUAUAUUUGCUUUUACCUCUAUGAGAGUUCAUGUUGAUCAAAGCAUUAAUACUGGCGACGGUCCAUAUGUAUUUUGUAUCAAUGGUGUAGUACAUCAUCGUAUAGGAUCUUUAUUACCUAAAGAUGGUGAACCACCUCAAUAUGCUCAGCUUUAUAUCUAUGACACUGACAAUGAAGUAACCAACAGAUUGAAUAUAUUUGCUAAUGAUGCAACAUCAAAGGAUUUAGAUCCAGUUAUUGUAGCCGAUAUUAUAAAGAUGUUGGAUACAUAUAAUCCUUUAGAAAAAAAAUUCAGAAUGGCAAGAGAUCGUUUAUUAUCGCCAACAGCAGUAGUGCUUCUGAAUUAGCUGCAAUGAUGAUUGGCGAUGCCUCUAUUGGUGCAACUGAAUUUGAUAUUAUUGUUGAAUGUCAUAGUGGUGAAUUCAAGCAAAUACAUCCUAUACAUCCAGCACUCAUGGCACUACAAUAUCCUCUUUUGUUUCCAUAUGGUGAACCAAGUUUUCAUUUGGGUAUCAAGUACAAACAAAUCAAUGAGAUAAAUAAAUUGAUUCCAUAUGCUAAAUAAAUUAUACUACCAUAAAAUCAACUACUAUGUAACAUAUUAUUAUGUACAGUUAUUAUGUACUUUCCCUUAGAUACUAUGUAAUAUAUUGCUAUAUACAGUUAAUGUGUACUUUUCCUUAACUACUAUGUAACAUAUUACUAUAUACAAUUAAUGUGUGCUUUCCCUUCUAAACUCCGUGGUGCACUUCGAUGAAAUGCUUUUGACUUGAUUGCUAAUGUAUCCAUCUAUACAAUUGUAAUCACUAAAUAAUACUCCUCAUAUGUUCCUUCAUCAAUACCUCUAUACUAUCUUUGUAACUAUCAUCUAAUAACCAUUUUACAUCUAUUCAUCAAUGUAGUAACUG